rnacentral:rRNA from 1 species
UACGAAGGGGGCUAGCGUUGUUCGGAAUAACUGGGCGUAAAGCGCACGUAGGCGGAUUGUUAAGUCAGAGGUGAAAUCCCGGGGCUCAACCCCGGAACUGCCUUUGAUACUGGCAAUCUUGAGUCCGAGAGAGGUGAGUGGAAUUCCGAGUGUAGAGGUGAAAUUCGUAGAUAUUCGGAGGAACACCAGUGGCGAAGGCGGCUCACUGGCUCGGUACUGACGCUGAGGUGCGAAAGUGUGGGGAGCAAACAGG